rnacentral:rRNA from 1 species
UCAUUGUAUUCCUUCGGGAGUCUUUCCUUGCGAAAGACCCGAGUUCGGAGUCCUCGGUCUUUUGGAUCGUGUUCUCUUAGAUGCGUCGCGCCGAUCGCCUGAUGGGUACUCUAAUGCCUGAGCGUGGAGUCCCUUUGAGUUUGAGACGCGCUUGACCGGCCAUUGGGCUCGUGUCACCAAGUCCACGUCCUUUGGGAUGCUGGUACUACAACGCAUGACCUCAUUGGGGUAGGACAACCCGCUAGACUUAAGCAUAUUAAUCAGCGGAGGAAAAGAAACUAACCAGGAUUCCCCUAGUAACUGCGAGUGAAGCGGGAUCGGCUCAAUGUGUGAAUCUGACUUGGGGUAAACCCGUGUCCGAGUUGUGCACUAUGGACGCUUUGUCUGCGUAUGUAACGGCGGUGGAAGUCCGUUGAAACACGGCACCUCAGAGGGUCACAGUCCUGUACCACCUGCCUGCACUCGCGCCAAUGACAAGCAAUCCUCGAGUCGCGUAGUUUUGUAAUGCUGCGCCAAGUGGGAGGUAGAGACCUUCUAAGGCUAAAUAUGAUGACGUGACCGAUAGCACACAAGUACCGCGAGGGAAAGGUGAAAAGCAACCAUGAAAAAUGGGUUGAAACAGUAGUGAAAGCGCUACCGGGAUAAGGGCUAUCGGGUGCUGGGGCUCUUUGGGUGUGCUUUAGUGCUACCCUUGGAGACGGCCCGCGCGGGUUGAUGUUGGGGUGAUAGACGCGCCGUUGGAAUUCGGCUGCCUUCGGGCAGU